UGGGGAAUUUUGGACAAUGGGCGCAAGCCUGAUCCAGCAAUGCCGCGUGCAGGAAGAAGGCCUUCGGGUUGUAAACUGCUUUUGUCAGGGAAGAAAUCCUCUGGGUUAAUACCUCGGGGGGAUGACGGUACCUGAAGAAUAAGCACCGGCUAACUACGUGCCAGCAGCCGCGGUAAUACGUAGGGUGCGAGCGUUAAUCGGAAUUACUGGGCGUAAAGCGUGCGCAGGCGGCUUUGCAAGACAGAUGUGAAAUCCCCGGGCUCAACCUGGGAACUGCAUUUGUGACUGCAAGGCUAGAGUACGGUAGAGGGGGAUGGAAUUCCGCGUGUAGCAGUGAAAUGCGUAGAUAUGCGGAGGAACACCAAUGGCGAAGGCAAUCCCCUGGACCUGUACUGACGCUCAUGCACGAAAGCGUGGGGAGCAAACAGGAUUAGAUACCCUGGUAGUCCACGCCCUAAACGAUGUCAACUGGUUGUUGGACGGCUUGCUGUUCAGUAACGAAGCUAACGCGUGAAGUUGACCGCCUGGGGAGUACGGCCGCAAGGUUG
rnacentral:rRNA from 1 species